UGGUUUGUUGUGUGUUCAAUUUUGAUGUAGGUGUUCAUGUAUUUCCCCUAACUAUAGGACCUGAUGAAUCGGGAGAAGAGAGAUAAGAUUCCUAGCAUGCAGGUGUCAUUCAUUGAUGCGAUUUGCACUCAGUUAUAUGAGACUUUGGCCGGCAUGUCGGAGCAUUGCUGCCCCCUGCUGGAGGGAUGUCAGAGAAACCGGCAGCAAUGGAAACAUUUGGCUGAGGAGUGUGAGAAGGGAUUGGUCAACGGCUUGGCGUGAUUACGUGGGAUUCUCCUUAUUUAAACUUGUUUCACAAAGUUUAAUGACAUUAUUACACCCUUUACAUUAAAUUAUCCACCACAGCGAAGGUGAUAGAAGGGUAAAAAAAAAAA